rnacentral:rRNA from 1 species
AAGAAAGUAAGAAAGGGCGCAUGGCGGAUGCCUUGGCUCACGGAGGCGAUGAAGGACGUGAUAAGCUGCGAUAAGCCUUGGGUAGGUGCAAAUAACCUUUGAUCCAAGGAUUUCCGAAUGGGACAACCCAGCAGGUUGAAGACCUGUUAUCACUACAGAUGUAGUGAGGCGAACGAAGGGAACUGAAACAUCUUAGUACCUUUAGGAAGAGAAAAUAAAUAAUGAUUCCCCUAGUAGUGGCGAGCGAACGGGGAAUAGCCCAAACCUGCUUUGUGGCAACGCUUAGCAGGGGUUGUAGGACCACGCUGUCGUACUUAGAUUGUGAGAAGAAUGUUCUGGAAAGAACAAUCAUAGAGGGUGAU